rnacentral:lncRNA from 1 species
AUGCCUGGGCCACAGGGUCCUCCUGGAGAUGCUGGUAGACCAGGUGUGUCAAGACCUGGUCUGAGAGGUCCCCCAGGAUUUCCUGGGCCAAAAGGAGCAAAAGGAGAAAAAGGACAGGUGGGCUUGUGUAUUAUAGGCCCUCCAGGACUGCCUGGGAUUACUGGCAGAAUUGGUUCUGUUGGGUUGCCAGGUCCUCCGGGAGAACCAGGUAGAGUAACUUUUAGAACAGGCCUACCAGGACUCCCUGGACAGCCAGGGUGUGCAGGACCUCCAGGACCUCCAGGAGACAUGGGCAUGAAAGGUCAGUGAUUGUGUUUGCUGGCUGCAAUUGAUUUUUGAGAGAAGGUUCCUUCUGCAAUUAUCACCACAGGAGCUGCUGAAUUUGUAUGCCUCUUCCCAGUCAUUAAAGUGGUCCUAUGAAGCCAUUUUAACUUGAAACCUGUGUUACUUUCUUCUUUUGAAAAAAAUUGGCUAGAGUGUAACCAAACAGCUUACUGUAACUAGAAUUG